CGAGGAUGAGUUGCACAAGUGGCAACAGGUGCUGCAGACGGCCAUCGAUCUGCUGAAAAAGACUGAAAGAACUUUGGCUGAAAUAAUUGUACGCUAGCAGAAAAUAUUUCAUAAAAAAAACGAAAGUUGUUGUGCAAUUUAAAUUAAAACCCAAUCCAAUUGUCUUCGACACACAAGCUACCAAAACACCCAAGCAAAAAAGAAGAAAUCUGAAAUUGAAUUUGAAAAUUCAACUUAAAUUUAGUCACAAGCCCAAUAAUACACACAGAUUGGUCAUGGAUUCGUAUUUAAUUUUACGUUUUAUGUUUAAGAAAGUGCAACGUGUAAGUUACAAGUCAUAAAUAGCUGCAUUUUAGUUAGAUUA